GGUCUCUGCCCAGCCAGCGUGCCAUCGUGAGCGCCGUUAGUUUGCUUGCUCGUCACAUGUUCGCUGUUCGUCAAGUAGACCGAUUGUGUGCACAGAUCCCCCGACCAGCGGACAAUUUCCACAGCAUUGUGCAACCGUUAAUUGAAAAGGCAUUUGCAACUUUAAUUCGUUUUUGUCCACAGAACAGGUGUAUGUGAGUGUGUGUGCCAGUGCAGGCAUUAUCGAGUAUCGCGCCCUUGCCCUUUCCACCCGCCACCCGCAACCCGCAACCCGCAAAUCGUCCACCGUUUACCGAUCUAAUCCGGCCGACCGUAACGUUCUGGAAGCUUUCGACAAGCGAUCCGAUCGGUAACCAAAAAACGCGUGGUCUCCGUCAAACUGUAUGAAAUAAUCAGCAGCAAAAAAUACAGCGAGGCAAAAAAAGCGCAAAUUGCGCGUUUCAGAACGGUACUAAUUCUUCGCAGUUCCUUUAAACGCACCACAGGGGAGACACAGAAAGAAAAAAGCGCGCAACUCAAUGUGCAAAAUGAAAUGUUUAAAAAAAACUAAGCAAAGACCAAGAGGUAAAGGGGUAGAACAGAACAGCUAGACAAGAACCAAAAGGAAGACGCAGUUGAAUAAAAGGUGUGCAAGUGUUUGUGUCCGCGAGUGAAGUGUGUUUGUGUUUGUGUGCCAGUGCCAGUGCCAGUGCACAAAGAAAGCAAAACAACAGCAAUAACACAUUA
rnacentral:sRNA from 1 species